GUUUGUUUUCCAGAGUCUGCCGUUUUCUUGGCAGCUCAGUGCCGGCCCUGGAAACUCUCAAGGUAUUUUUGUGAAGUAUUUUUAUAGCUUUAACAGAGAAAGAGAGAGAGAAAGACUUUCUGAGGACCUUCUUGGAUCUGAGUCAUCCCUCACAGCCAUGGGGACAAGGACAAGCUUGGGAGUGGGGGAGGACUGAAGCGAUUUCCCAGAUAACAGCUUGAAAGCAGAGCCAGGGCCGGACAAGUCGAACCCCUGAUCCCUGCAUGGGGCUCCCAGGCCGCAUUGUUCUAAGCUCUUUCUCUAUACACCAGAGCAUGGAUGGUGACUAGAACUUUCCUGGCUGGGUUUUCACUGUCUGUUUGCCUUCCAGUCACCCCCAGGAACUGAGAGGUCCUCCCUGUGCCCACACUGCCUGGCAAGAGCCGCCAGGCCUGGAUAGGUGGAGAGCUCCCCAUCACUGGAGGUAUGCAAGCCAAGGAUGCCACCUGGUUCAAAGUGCCUUGGCAUCCGGCGGGGGUUGCCUAAGUAACCUGGCAGCCGGGAUCCCUCCGUGCCCAGGGUCUCGGCUGGAGCAUCUGCAAGGGGAACGUGAGCAGGCGGGGACAGCGGCAGCCUGCGGCGAGCCUCUGCGGGUGUGACCCUGGACGCGGGACUGCAUCGCCCCAGUCUCGUUCCUCCGUCUUUACAAGGGACAGGAACUGGCUCCUCCUUAAGCAAGGUCACGCGUGCACGGCCUUUGCACCGCCUUCGCCCCCACCGCGGCCACCACGCUGACCCUGCCCUGCCCUCCACGCCCCGAGGCCUGGGCCGCACGCGCAGCCUUCUGACUCUGGGGCUAGGUAAGUCCUCCGCGGGAAAGGGGUGAGUCGUGAUUGGUCCACGGCCGUCCUGGCACCCCAUUCUCCUGGCCUGCGAUUGGUCAAAGGGUGGGCAUAUGACCUGGUGGUAACCAAUGAGAGGUAAAGGGAAGUCUGCUGGGCGGAGCUUCCCUUCCUCACCACAAAAGCAAGGACCACGUGAGGAAAAAGGCCCUUUCCAGUCCUCCAUCUUCCUGCCUGGGACGUGCAUGUGAUGUCCGAGACACAGCAGCCUCCGCCGUGGCAGCGUCAUGCGGCAGCCGACUCCAGGCCGGGGGCCACUCCCUCUGGACAUCUUGUUAUGUUCCUUGCAGAAGGACUGUAAACUCCUAACUGUUCCAAGUCUCUGGUAGUCAGGUUUUUGGACUUGGAGCUAAACUCAUUCCUGACUUUCCUGCUGAGGGGAUGUCUGCUCAGACCCGGUGACCACGCCCACCUCCCGUCUCCCCAGGCACCUUGCCCCACAAGACACUGGAGCGGGUACUGGACGCCCGUCUGCUCCUCAGCCUCGCGUCAUCGUACUUCCUUCUUUUCUCCUUCUGGGCCUCGCUCCUGCUUCGGCCAGCUCACUCCACCCCGAGACCUGAUGAGCGAUCUCACAGGCCCAUCGCCUCCUCUCCCCCUCCCCCAGGCUCAACCACAGCCCAUAAUAAGCAAAGGCCCCAGGAACCCAAUCCCGCGGUCCCCAAAUGUGGCAGACACGCCAUUUGCUUACAACAGGGCUACUGUAGGGAGUCGCCACGUUGACAGAUCGCCAUGCACGCUGUGGGUGGGAGGCCCUGCCGGGUCCCUCAGCAUCUCCCGGCCCUCAGCGUCCGGGCCUGACUUCAGCUCUCUGAAGGACUGAUCCACGUGGGUUCGCUUCCCUCCUUGAGGAGUGCCUUCCUCUCCGGGCUGCAGCGCCUCUGGGCCCUGAUUACCGCCAUUUGUGAAAUGAGCCUGGGUCACACUCCACAGCUGCUAACCCUCAGAGAAUAAAAGCUAAGGGCUGGAACAAUCCGAAUGAUCAUUGCAUGCAAUUGUCCUCUCCAUCCCUGAGGCAGAGAGCCUGACGUGCCCCACAUCUGGGGACCACUCAACUGCAGCCCUGGGAAGAUCGGCAGAAGCGGAACUUUCCAGAGGAAAGACCCCACUUUAGAAUAGCCCCCUCUCCGUCUGCCAUGGGAACAGCAUCUCUGACACAUCACUAUGGUCUGUGCUUGCACCCUUCUCUCAUACAACCUCAAGAUAACUCCAUGCUACAGAUGAGGAAACUGAUGCUCAGAGCGGUUAAGCAGUUUGUCCAAUGCCAUACAGUUAGGAAGGGACAGAGCCUACUUCAAAUAAACUAACCAGGCCAGGCUUCUGACCACCUGUAACGUCUCCGCAGACUCAAUAAGUUGCCCGAUUUCAGAGCUGGAAGGGUGGCAGGAGUCUGGCGGUAGACCUGCUUGCCCACCCUGAGAAUGCCGGGCCUACAGAGGAGUCGAGUGGGCAUAAGAGCCCUGAGGCCUCCAGGGAAAAUGGUGAGGAGGACUGGGGGCAGCCAGGAAGCCCCCAAGAGACCGUGACUCAGACGUUCAAAAGAAGAGAGGAGCAGAGACUCAGGGGUUCUGUGUGAUGGAUGCACGGCAGGGUCCCCAGGGCCGGCCCGCAGUGGGUGUGCAGUAAACAGCUGGUGAGUGAAUAAACGGUUGUGGUAGUGAUCACUGUUCUCCUUUGCGCGGGGAGCAGGGCACGCGCAGAAGUCGGCACCUGGAGUCGGCGUGGGUGCUGUCUUCUCCUGGACGCUCGCGCGGCGCCUCCCCCGUGCCCGGCCUAGGACAGAGGGGAGCAGACAUCGAGGCUUUGACUCACAGUAUUUAGAAGAGAUUAAAGUUGCCUGUGCGAGAGGCUGCAAGAGGGUUGAUGGGCUUCCAUUCCUGAUAUUCAGCCAGGAUUUUCCUCAGCACGUCCAUUCCUGCUUCCAGCAAAACUUUCCCAAACCGAUUCCAGGCGCUUUUUUUUUUUACAUUAUUAAUUUUUUAAGUUGUGGUAAAAUACAUAUAUGAAAUUUAUAAUGUGUAUAAAAUUUGCUGCUCUAAGUGUACCGUUCAGUGGCGUUAAGCACCUUCACGUUGUUGUGCACCCAUUGCCACCCUCAUCUCCAGAACCUUUCCAAACAGAAACUCUGUCCCCAUAAACAAUCCCUCUCCCCUUGGCCCCUGGUAACUACUGUUCUACUCUCUGUCUCCGUGGAUCUGCCUAUUCUGGGUAUUUCCUAUAAGUGGAAUCAUACAGAAUCUGUCCUUUUGUCGCCUGGCUUAUUUCACUGAGCAUAAUGUUUUCAAUUUCAUCCGUGUUGUAGCCUGUGCCAGAAUUUUCUUCCUCUGUAAGGCUGACUAAUAUUCCAUUGCCUGUAUAUGCUGCAUUGUGCUUAUCUGUGCCUCCAUCAGUGGACAUUUGGGGCGUUCCCACCUUUUGGCUGUUAGAAAUACUGCUGUUACGAACAUGAGUCACAAACAUCUCUUCGCUCUUUGCUUUUAAUUGUUUGGGUGCAUACCAAGGAGUGGAAUUGCU
rnacentral:lncRNA from 1 species